rnacentral:rRNA from 1 species
GAUGAACGCUGGCGGCGUGCCUAAUACAUGCAAGUCGAGCGAACAGAUGAGGAGCUUGCUCCUCUGACGUUAGCGGCGGACGGGUGAGUAACACGUGGAUAACCUACCUAUAAGACUGGGAUAACUUCGGGAAACCGGAGCUAAUACCGGAUAAUAUAUUGAACCGCAUGGUUCAAUAGUGAAAGGCGGUUUUGCUGUCACUUAUAGAUGGAUCCGCGCCGCAUUAGCUAGUUGGUAAGGUAACGGCUUACCAAGGCAACGAUGCGUAGCCGACCUGAGAGGGUGAUCGGCCACACUGGAACUGAGACACGGUCCAGACUCCUACGGGAGGCAGAAGUAGGGAAUCUUCCGCAAUGGGCGAAAGCCUGACGGAGCAACGCCGCGUGAGUGAUGAAGGUCUUCGGAUCGUAAAACUCUGUUAUUAGGGAAGAACAAAUGUGUAAGUAACUAUGCACGUCUUGACGGUACCUAAUCAGAAAGCCACGGCUAACUACGU